AGAAAAAAAGGAGAUGAGACGACAGAAGCAAUGGUUGGAGGGAUGAGCUUUGGAGAUUGGGGGGAGGAACGAAUCCAGGAAUUCAGGCAGCCUCUGGAAACUAGAAAAGGCAAGGAAACAGAUUGUUUUGCUGGAGUUUCUGGAAGGAAUGCAGCCUGCUGACACCCUGAUGUUAGCCUCAUGAGACUCAUUUUGGACUUCUGCCCUCCAGAAUGGGCCAGUUUCUGUCCCAAGGUGACAUGCUUUAUCUCAGCCAAAUGGUAGCACUGGGAUGCUUGCCAUGACAGUGAAAAUGCCCCUUCCAAGCAAGACUACACUCUCUGCCAAUCUUUAGAAUUAUUUGUGAGGACUCAGGCAUGGCCUCCCUGAGCCCUCGCAUGUGACUGAUGAUCUAAGGCCCUCAAGGCACAGUUCUCUGGGUCUUUCAGAUGGGCAGUGACUGACCAGAGGUGCCUUCAGAUUCUUCUCCUAGCCCACGGAGCCACAUAAUUCAUAUCUCAGCAGAGAUGCCAUUCUUCAUCAAACCACAUUUCCUCCCCUUCCCCAGGAAGGAGAGAGAGACAGGGGAGUGGCAAGAAAGCCAAAGCUCAGUUUCACACAUAUGAAUUCAGAUCUCCCAGGAAUAUUCUUGUAGACAUGCCAAACAGUUUGAAAUAUGAGUCUGGAAUUCAAAGGGGAAGCUUUCGUUUUAGAUGCACUUUUGAGAUGAUCAAGUUUGGAGUGGAACGUUAUGAAAGCCACUAUCAAAGUUCUAAUAACAGCUCAGCCACCAGAAAGUGAUUUCAAAUUAACCCAAUUCCUUUCUUGUCUUUUGCACUCUUGUUGAAUGGCAUGAGUCAUGCAGGGCGGUAUUUCUCCCAAGCCUUCCUCUUCCUCUGUCUGCCUUUCUCCCAGGCUCCAGUUCCCCAACAUCCCUUCCCUACACGCCUCUCCCAUGACUUCUGCAUGUACCUAUGCCAUCUUUUUCCAGCUCUGCAACACAAUGCAAAACCCUACAAGAGCUUUUUGGCAAUUCCUCAAGGAGAGGAAAGAAACCUAACUCAUAAAACCAGAAUCUUUUAAGAGUAAGAAAAGCUGUCCCAGCAAAUGAGCAACAGAACUUCUGAUGCCAAAGUUUCUUCUGGGUAGAAAAGAGCACCUUUUCCUUACACAAGAUAGAAGGAAGUUUUCAGAGGCAGCAGGACAACCGGCUUCCUAAUCUGGCUAAGGGUCCCAUUGAGAUGAUGAACCGACCCUACGAUUUACAACUUGUUCAUCUGUGUCGGAUGAAAUGGUUGUAAGAGAAUCCACAUUCACAAUAGAAAGCCAAAUAAAAUGUAUGAGAAGGUAUCUUUGCAUCUUUUUGGCAUAUUUUGGAAAAGCCGCUUCCUGUUUCAAGCCAUCAUUGUUUUCAUGAGAGGAAGUGAUCAGCAUGGGGCUGUGGUGUGGAGCCAGGAUGUUCACAGCCAGCCAAGCUCUAUCGAGAGAAGAGCCAGCUGUGGGCGGGACUGCCACGCUAGAAACAGUUCAGAAAACCAGACUGCAUUGAAACCUCCUGAAGUUCGUCUGAAAAUGUGGCCCUGACUGUGAGCUGUGAAGUGUUACUAAAAGAAGAAAAUAAUACAGCAGUUGUCUGAAAUCACGAAUUAGCACUCCGAUGUGAAAAUAGGACUUGAGAAUGUCAAAUAGCUACAAUAGAUAAAAGACUGGAAAUUCUCGGUUGUACUCAUUUGCCAAAUUGGAAUAAAGAUUUGGUCUUGCUGAACCAAAUGUGGCCUGCUUCCCACAUCAGCAGAAAAA
rnacentral:lncRNA from 1 species